rnacentral:rRNA from 1 species
UGGUAAAGCCGCGAAUGGCUCAUUACAACAGCCAUAGUUUAUUGGAUCUACAUAUCCUACUUGGAUAACUGUGGUAAUUCUAGAGCUAAUACACGCAAACAAGCCCUGACCUUACGGGAAGGGCGCAUUUAUUAGAACAAAACCAAUUGGCUUCGGCCAUCUAUUGGUGAAUCUGAAUAACUACGCAGAUCGCACGGUCUCGUACCGGCGACAUAUCCUUCAAGUGUCUGCCUUAUCAACUGUCGAUGGUAGUUUACAUGACUACCAUGGUUGUAACGGGUAACGGAGAAUAAGGGUUCGACUCCGGAGAGGGAGCCUGAGAAACGGCUACCACAUCCAAGGAAGGCAGCAGGCGCGCAAAUUACCCACUCUCAGUUCGAGGAGGUAGUGACGAAAAAUAACGAGACAGUUCUCUUUGAGGUCUGUCAUCGGAAUGGGUACAAUCUAAACCCUUUAACGAGGAUCAAUUGGAGGGCAAGUCUGGUGCCAGCAGCCGCGGUAAUUCCAGCUCCAAUAGCGUAUAUUAAAGUUGUUGC